CCUACGGGAGGCAGCAGUAGGGAAUCUUCCACAAUGGGCGAAAGCCUGAUGGAGCAACGCCGCGUGGGUGAAGAAGGUCUUCGGAUCGUAAAACCCUGUUGUUAGAGAAGAAAGUGCGUGAGAGUAACUGUUCACGUUUCGACGGUAUCUAACCAGAAAGCCACGGCUAACUACGUGCCAGCAGCCGCGGUAAUACGUAGGUGGCAAGCGUUAUCCGGAUUUAUUGGGCGUAAAGGGAACGCAGGCGGUCUUUUAAGUCUGAUGGGAAAGCCUUCGGCUUAACCGGAGUAGUGCAUUGGAAACUGGGAGACUUGAGUGCAGAAGAGGAGAGUGGAACUCCAUGUGGAGCGGUGAAAUGCGUAGAUAUAUGGAAGAACACCAGUGGCGAAAGCGGCUCUCUGGUCUGUAACUGACGCUGAGGUUCGAAAGCGUGGGUAGCAAACAGGAUUAGAUACCCCGGUAGUC
rnacentral:rRNA from 1 species